UCAAAGGAGCAAUCCGCUGAAAGAUGGGCUCGCGUCCGAUUAGAUAGUUGGUGAGGUAACGGCUCACCAAGUCGACGAUCGGUAGCCGGACUGAGAGGUUGAACGGCCACAUUGGGACUGAGACACGGCCCAGACUCCUACGGGAGGCAGCAGUGGGGAAUAUUGCACAAUGGGCGAAAGCCUGAUGCAGCAACGCCGCGUGAGGGAAGACGGUUUUCGGAUUGUAAACCUCUGUUUUCGGUGACGAACAAAUGACGGUAACCGAGUAGGAAGCCACGGCUAACUACGUGCCAGCAGCCGCGGUAAUACGUAGGUGGCAAGCGUUAUCCGGAAUUACUGGGUGUAAAGGGAGCGCAGGCGGGAUAGCAAGUCAGCUGUGAAAACUAUGGGCUCAACCCAUAAACUGCAGUUGAAACUGUUAUUCUUGAGUGGAGUAGAGGCAAGCGGAAUUCCGAGUGUAGCGGUGAAAUGCGUAGAUAUUCGGAGGAACACCAGUGGCGAAGGCGGCUUGCUGGGCUCUAACUGACGCUGAGGCUCGAAAGUGUGGGGAGCAAACAGGAUUAGAUACCCUGGUAGUCCACACUGUA
rnacentral:rRNA from 1 species